UAUAAUGCUUUUGACCAAAGGUUAUGCCUUUUUAUUGAUCAAACCCAAGGUAACAUCUGUUGACUGCACAGACUUCAGACAAAAGAUUUAGUUAAUUAUUUGUCAGCUGCUGUGUAUAUUUAAGGCUCGGCUCAUCACAGAAACCACAAAAUAUGAUGUUGAGAAUGGAAAUGACAAUGGUUUUCUCACUGUUGUUGCUAAUCUGCUUUCUCUCCACAGCUCAGCUACAGCCAGAGUCUAACAAUGAAAUUAUUUCACAUUUAAGGCAAACAACAGAUGCAGGAAACCUAUCAGACAAUCAACAAACUUGUGCACAGGACAUCCAUGCAGUGCUGAGAGAGAUGAGCGCCUCAUUGGCUGGACUGAAGGUUGGUAUGGAGUAUCUGCAGAAAGAUAAUGAAGGUAUGUUAACCAGAAAUCACUGCUGUAUGAAACUGAAGUCUUUAUAUUAAAAUAAUCACAGUUUAAUGUUUUUUAUUUUACUCCUGCAACAGCCAAGACAAAAGAACUGGACUUGAUAAAACAACAAUACCAAGAGCAAGUUACAAAAGUAGGAAAUCUUGAGCAGCAGUACCAAGAGCAAGUGACAAAAGUAAGAAAUCUUGAGCAGCAGUACCAAG